UUCUCGGGGGAGCUCAGAAGAAAAUACUUUGGCGUUCAUUUUUCCCUCUAUUUCUGUGUGUCCCUUCUGUCCUGCUUCCCCACCUCCCGUUUCUGUGAGAUCUGGCCCAGGAUGGGGGCACAGAGGGAAGUCUGAUGGAGAAACCCACAGUGAGGCAGGAAAAAGUGGGAGCCACCUGGCACAUUUUCUUUCUCAAUUCGGUGAUUUUAUUCAUUGGGGAAGAGAUCGCUUUGCAUCUUUUUCUUUAAAGGAAUUCUAAAGGCAGCUGUCCUCUUCGUGCCCUCUUGCUCCCUCUUAAGAGGCCUCUGCCUGGGGCUGUCCCAGGGCACAUGGUGACUCCGCAUGGUGGUAUGGGGCAAGCAGAGAUCACCAGUGUGCUGAAAAUGUGGAGAUAUGGAGCUUCCUCUGGAUCUUCUCAGUGCUGCUCAGGACCUUCCAGACCUGCCCACCUCUGCUG